UACGGGGGGGGGUAAGCGUUGUUCGGAAUUACUGGGCGUAAAGGGCUCGUAGGCGGCCAACUAAGUCAGACGUGAAAUCCCUCGGCUUAACCGGGGAACUGCGUCUGAUACUGGAUGGCUUGAGAUUGGGAGAGGGAUGCGGAAUUCCAGGUGUAGCGGUGAAAUGCGUAGAUAUCUGGAGGAACACCGGUGGCGAAGGCGGCAUCCUGGACCAACACUGACGCUGAGGAGCGAAAGCCAGGGGAGCAAACGGG
rnacentral:rRNA from 1 species